GUGGGGAAUAUUGGACAAUGGGCGAAAGCCUGAUCCAGCCAUGCCGCGUGAGUGAUGAUGGCCUUAGGGUUGUAAAGCUCUUUCAGUAGGGAAGAUAAUGACGGUACCUACAGAAGAAGCCCCGGCUAACUUCGUGCCAGCAGCCGCGGUAAUACGAAGGGGGCUAGCGUUGUUCGGAUUUACUGGGCGUAAAGCGCACGUAGGCGGAUUGGUCAGUUAGAGGUGAAAUCCUGGAGCUCAACUCCAGAACUGCCUUUAAUACUGCCAGUCUAGAGUCCAGAAGAGGUGAGUGGAACUCCUAGUGUAGAGGUGGAAUUCGUAGAUAUUAGGAAGAACACCAGUGGCGAAGGCGGCUCACUGGUCUGGUACUGACGCUGAGGUGCGAAAGCGUGGGGAGCAAACAGGAUUAGAAACCCUUGUAGUCC
rnacentral:rRNA from 1 species